rnacentral:tRNA from 1 species
AGCAGUGUAGCUCAGUGGUAGAGUAUAUGCUUAACAUGAGCCAGACCCUGGAUUAAAUCCCCAGCACUGCAA